GCGAAGGAUCAUUAUAGAUUCUUUUGGCUGUGCGCCGCGAGGCCGCACGCCGAAAUCCAAUCACACACACCCGUGCACUUCGGUCGUGGUAAAACGCGGCCGCCUUCACAUUUAACAAGUAAAACCCGAAUGUAACAAACCAUAAAAUAAUACAACUUUUAACAACGGAUCUCUUGGCUCUCGCAUCGAUGAAGAACGCAGCGAAAUGCGAUACGUAAUGUGAAUUGCAGAAUUCAGUGAAUCAUCGAAUCUUUGAACGCAUUUUGCGCCCCAUGGUAUUCCCGUGGGGCAUGCCUGUUUGAGUGUCACGUAAACCCCUCAUCCCGUGCGAUCUUACCCGUCGCACGAAUGGACUUGAGUGUUGCCGUAAUCGGCUCGCUCUGAAAUGCAUUAGCUUUGCGUCUAUUAGCGCCGCUCCGGCGUGGUGUGAUAAUUAUCUUCACCCUAGCCUUAGGCCGCCUUCCAAUGUCGCCUGCUUCUCAAUGGUCCUUCACCGGACNAAUCUCAAUUGAAGCCUUUGGCCUCCAAAUCAGGUAGGACUACUCCUGCCUGAACUUAAGCAUAUUCAAUAAGCGGAGGAAAAGAAACUAAACAAGGAUUUCCUCCUAGUAAACGGGCGAGUGAAGAGGGAAGAGCUUCAAAUUUGAAAUCUGGGCGGCC
rnacentral:rRNA from 1 species